UAUUAUUAUUAUUAUUUACCCAAACCCACAGGCCACAGCCCAUUUGCAAGCCCUACUAUUUCCUCUCACUUAAUUCCCUAAAUCAAAUCAGAGUUCCUCCCCCCUAAAUCAGAUGCAGAGAUCGCGAGAAGCAAGAAGAAGAAGAAGGGAGAACUAGAAGCGAAGAACAAUGGGCAAGAAAACAGCAAGAAUCUGAUGGCACCAUGGAUGAAGAUUACUUGCUUAUUCUUUUUCAUAGUAGUUUUUUUGUAUGUUCAUGGUGGCCUGUGAGUGGGAAAGGAGAAGGAUAAGGGGAGAAGAGGAGAAGAUGAGUAAAGGGUAAAAUUAUUAUUUACCAUUGAGUGUGAUCAGCUAUGUUGUAAACGCUGGUAUCAGUGGCUUUUUUAUUUUCAGCUGAUUGCAUCAAUAAGCUAUAUCAAUAAGCUGGUUUACCAAACACUAAUUUUAGCUGUUUGACUUGGUCAAACAGCUAAAAUUGGUCAAAACAGCUAAAAAGUGGCUGAUCAGCCACCAUCCAAACACCCCCACUAUCUAUCAAAAUAAUCAUAAAUAUAUAUUAUAUACAUUAUACAUGUUAAUAGAUAAUUAUAUUUAAUUUGUAUUGGUAGCUUUGAAUUAUUACGUGGCUCUCCAUUAUUUUAUGUUUUGUCUCCCUCUCUUAUUAUAAUAAAGAGAGGGAAUUUGGCAUUUUGGCCUGUGAAAAUGCUCCAUUCUCCCGCCCAAAGACUUUUGACUCUUUUUUUCUUUUAAAUAAAAGCUUUAAAAUGGAUUGCAAGUAAA